rnacentral:rRNA from 1 species
UACGUAGGGGGCAAGCGUUGUCCGGAAUCAUUGGGCGUAAAGCGCGUGUAGGCGGUCCGGUAAGUCGGUUGUGAAAACCCAGGGCUUAACCCUGGGCUGGCUUCCGAUACGGGCAGACUAGAGGUAUGCAGGGGAGAACGGAAUUCCUGGUGUAGCGGUGAAAUGCGCAGAUAUCAGGAGGAACACCGGUGGCGAAGGCGGUUCUCUGGGCAUUACCUGACGCUGAGGAGCGAAAGUGUGGGGAGCGAACAGG